rnacentral:sRNA from 1 species
AAACGCGGAGCGCGCGCUCCCAGCGAAAGCAGCCCGGCAGGGGUCUGCGUUGGAGGAAGGGACUGCUCCGGUGAUAGAAUGCUGUGCGUCGGAAGGCUGGGCGGCUUGGGAGCCAGAGCAGCAGCUCUGCCGCCCCGCCGGGCGGGCCGGGGAAGCCUCGAAGCCGGGAUCCGGGCCCGAAGGGUCAGCACCAGCUGGUCUCCCGUGGGCGCCGCCUUCAAUGUCAAGCCCCAGGGCAGCCGCUUGGACCUGUUCGGCGAGCGCCGGGUGAGCGGCGCAGGAGGAGCUCCCCUCAGUCCCCGAGCUAAGCCGACCCCUGCUCCGCGCGGCCAGCAACAAUCAGGGCGAGAUUGUUUGGGCCUGGGAGGAGGCGAGCAGCGAACCCACCUUUUACAGUGGCGUCUUGUGUGCGCUCUCGAUGAGGGCAAGGUCACCUCUGCUUUGAGGGGCCGGGUUUAGUGGUCUCCUACCCAGAGUGUCGGGUCCGGGAACUGCUUCUGCAUGAGCCCCUUGCUCCACGUGAAUCUGAAUAGUUCGUUCUGGCAGUGGCGGUGAAUUCGUCCUGCCAGGACCCGCCCUCUGCAUAUACUUAGGCGCACCCCUGCUAAAGCCCUUUAGCUCCAGCGCUACAGUCCUGCCUUAAGAGGCCUAUCCCUGUGCGUUCACAGGCGGCAUCACAUGGUCUUUUUGCAAGGACACGGCUGCCUGGAGUCGAGUAAUGGGUCUUUUUGGAGUUCCUGAGCUGAGUGCCCCAGAAGGAUUUCAUAUUGCACAAGAAAAAGCCUUGAGAAAGACAGAAUUGCUUGUGGACCGUGCGUGUUCCGCCCCACCUGGGCCCCAGACCGUGCUGAUCUUCGAUGAGCUCUCGGAUUCCUUAUGCAGAGUGGCCGACUUGGCUGAUUUUGUGAAAAUCGCUCACCCUGAGCCAGCAUUCAGAGAAGCUGCGGAAGAAGCUUGUAGAAGUAUUGGCACCAUGGUAGAGAA